CAUUGCUCAAUUCAUAGGAUUGGUUCAUUACCUUGGAAUUAAAGAGGAACUUUAUGUGGCAUGUUCCUCGGGCAUUACAGGUUUACCGGGCUAAGAAUGAGCUUACUAGAAUCGACAAUGAUAGGAUAGGUGAUCAACAUACAUGAUUUACAAUAUAAACAAUCUGUAUCACUACACAAGUGGCGGAUAUACGAUGCCAUCAAUUUUCUUGGAUCUCAUUUUGCUGGCAAAUCCUGGUGGUUUCACUAACAUUCUGUGUCGAAUGCACAGAGCUACUACAGAACCUGAAGGAAUCAUACUAACAGAAAUUUCUGAGAUGGAUCCGUGUCCGCAUUCAACUAUGGGCUGGAAGCCAAACUGCAUUCUUGUUUCGCACUGAUUAUAACAACUAUUGACAACAAUUUGCUUUGUCUUCCCUAAAAAAACAAUUUGCUAGGUCACCAAUACUAUUUUUAUGCCUUAUUUUUUACGUCAAAGGUGAUUACAUGCAUAUAUUUAUAGGGGCUUAAGCGUAGGAUGUAAAAACAUUAUGCUAGCACCUUUAAUGUUUAUACUCCCUCCGUUCCGAAUUACUUGUCUUAGAUUUGUCUAGAAACGAAGGUAUCUAGCACUAAAAUGACUCUAGAUACAUCCGUAUCUAGACAAAUCCAAGACAAGUAAUUCGGAACGGAGGGAGUACCUGUUAGAUGUGUAUAGUUCAUUGUGUACAUCCCCAUUGUAUAAGGGCACUUUACCACAUCUGUAUAUGUACUGGCCAUUGGCUCUCAGUAAAGCUUAGUUGCUGAUUAUCCAACAUGGUAUCAGAUGUUAGGUUCCCCUCUCCAUCGCACGCUGCAACUUCGUGCUAGAUUCUCUCUCGAUUCCGGUCCUUCCCGUCACGGAUCCGGCUGCCCCGGCCAGGUCGCUGCCGCCUCUUGCUCGGUCGGCCGACCAUCCCUCGUCACGGACCUGCUACCUUCUCUUCGUCCCGCUCUCUCCAGCUGCCCUGCCGGAACCCGCUGCCCGGCUGCUCACCUCGAGCUCGUCCGGUGGCCGG